AGGGCCGUAGCUCAGUGGUAGAGCACUACCUUGACACGGUAGGGGUCGACGGUUCGAAACCGUCCGGUCCUA
rnacentral:tRNA from 2 species